UACGGGGGGGAGCAAGCGUUGUUCGGAUUUACUGGGCGUAAAGGGCGCGUAGGCGGCCACCGCAAGUCGACUGUGAAAUCUCCGGGCUUAACCCGGAAAGGUCAGCCGAUACUGCGGGGCUAGAGUGCAGAAGGGGCAACUGGAAUUCUCGGUGUAGCGGUGAAAUGCGUAGAUAUCGAGAGGAACACCUGCGGCGAAGGCGGGUUGCUGGGCUGACACUGACGCUGAGGCGCGAAAGCUAGGGGAGCGAACGGG
rnacentral:rRNA from 1 species